CCUGGUCACUCAGAUGGUAAGGAAACUGCCUGCAAUGCAGGAGACCAGGGUUCGAUCCCUGGGUCAGGA
rnacentral:tRNA from 1 species